rnacentral:rRNA from 1 species
GAUGAACGCUGGCGGCGUGCCUAAUUCAUGCAAGUCGAGCGAACAGACGAGGAGCUUGCUCCUCUGACGUUAGCGGCGGACGGGUGAGUAACACGUGGAUAACCUACCUAUAAGACUGGGAUAACUUCGGGAAACCGGAGCUAAUACCGGAUAAUAUAUUGAACCGCAUGGUUCAAUAGUGAAAGACGGUUUUGCUGUCACUUAUAGAUGGAUCCGCGCCGCAUUAGCUAGUUGGUAAGGUAACGGCUUACCAAGGCAACGAUGCGUAGCCGACCUGAGAGGGUGAUCGGCCACACUGGAACUGAGACACGGUCCAGACUCCUACGGGAGGCAGCAGUAGGGAAUCUUCCGCAAUGGGCGAAAGCCUGACGGAGCAACGCCGCGUGAGUGAUGAAGGUCUUCGGAUCGUAAAACUCUGUUAUUAGGGAAGAACAAAUGUGUAAGUAACUAUGCACGCCUUGACGGUACCUAAUCAGAAAGCCACGGCUAACUACGUG